rnacentral:snoRNA from 1 species
GCAUGGCUGAAUACUGUGUUCUUUUUAUCAGUGGUUUACGUAGCCAGACACCAUGCAAAAAAAAAAAAAAAAAAAGAAAAAGAGCAGUCUUCCCUUUAAAGUGGUUAUAAUCAUAUGCUAAGUUUUUUCAUAGCAUAUCAUUAUUCAAAGGAAAUACAAAC